rnacentral:tRNA from 1 species
CGAUUUAGCUCAGGGGUAGAGCAACUCUCUCGUAAAGAGUAGGUCGAAGGUUCAAAUCCUUUAAUCGGC